CUGUCCUGUCAGCACACCUGUUCAUUGUUUAAUUAGUUGUAUUUAGUUCCACCUGGGUCUUUCCUUCUUUGUUGGAUCAUUCCUGCUCUUCCUUUUGAGAUGCUUGGUGUGCUGUUUUGGGUUCCACGCCUCUUUACAAACAUCACACCACUGAGGAGUCGUCCGAGAACUUCUACAGAUGGCAGCAGUUGGAGUCAUACCUGAAGUCUGAGGUGUAAGGCGUGAACAGUUUCACCUGCAGCCGGGCUGGCUGGAUGGUGUUAAAAAACAUUGGAGAACAUGACUCUCACCGCACUUCCUGUGGUCUCCAAGUGGGUGAAGGCCUGAUGCAGCAGGUAGAUGGUGUCAUCCACCCCAAUGCUUGGACAGUAAGCAAACUGCAAGGGGGUCCAUUGCUGACACUGUUUGCGCGCGAAGGUGGCUGAGGAUGAUCUUCAUGAGGUGGGAGGUCAGUGCAACAGGUCUGAAUUGGUUCGGUUCCUUGGGAUGAGGGGUUUUAGGGAUUAGAACUAGACAAGACGUCUUCCAAAAAGUUGGGACUUUUUCCAGGCUGAGGCACAGGUUUAAAAAUUUUGUGAACCAUCACAUUACCUGAGUAUCCUGGAACCGAUGCCACCUGGGCCUUGUAGCCUUCUUGACCUUGUUUCUUCCCAAGUCUCUCCUCUCUUGAUCCAUACUGAUGGAAUGUUGGAUUGGUGAUGGCUGGGUAUGUUGAACUGGGCUGGUGGGUUUUGGAGGGCUGUCUGAGAGGGGUUUGUUGGGUAGGUGUGGUCCAUGCUGAGUUGUGAAAGGCUCGGGCUGGUGUGGAACGGGGGUUGAAUGUGAAGGUGUUGCAGUGGGGCCAGACUUAAACCUGUUGAAAAAAACAUUCAGUUUGUUGCCCCACUCUUGGUCGCCAGAAGCUUGGUGGUUGGUUCACAUAUGUUAUUUUGCUCCAGCUGUUGUUCCAGUUUUGUUUUGUUAUUCAUGUUGUCAGUGCUCCUAAACCUCUCUUGGUUGUGUUUC